CGCGUAGGUGGCCUUGUUAGUCAGACGUGAAAUCCCCAAGCUUAACUUGGGAACUGCGUCUGAUACUGCAAGGCUUGAGUUCGGGAGAGGGAUGUGGAAUUCCAGGUGUAGCGGUGAAAUGCGUAGAUAUCUGGAGGAACACCGGUGGCGAAGGCGGCAUCCUGGACCGAAACUGACACUGAGGCGAGAAAGCGUAGGGGGGCAAACG
rnacentral:rRNA from 1 species